rnacentral:rRNA from 1 species
UACGUAGGGGGCUAGCGUUGUCCGGAAUCAUUGGGCGUAAAGCGCGUGUAGGCGGUCCGGUAAGUCCGCUGUGAAAGUCGAGGGCUCAACCCUCGAAUGCCGGUGGAUACUGUCGGGCUAGAGUACGGAAGAGGCGAGUGGAAUUCCUGGUGUAGCGGUGGAAUGCGCAGAUAUCAGGAGGAACACCAAUAGCGAAGGCAGCUCGCUGGGACGGUACUGACGCUAAGGCGCGAAAGCGUGGGGAGCGAACAGG